rnacentral:rRNA from 1 species
CCUACGGGAGGCAGCAGUGAGGAAUAUUGGUCAAUGGACGAGAGUCUGAACCAGCCAAGUAGCGUGAAGGAUGACUGCCCUAUGGGUUGUAAACUUCUUUUAUAUGGGAAUAAAAUGUUCCACGUGUGGGAGUUUGUAUGUACCAUAUGAAUAAGGAUCGGCUAACUCCGUGCCAGCAGCCGCGGUAAUACGGAGGAUCCGAGCGUUAUCCGGAUUUAUUGGGUUUAAAGGGAGCGUAGGUGGAAUGUUAAGUCAGUUGUGAAAGUUUGCGGCUCAACCGUAAAAUUGCAGUUGAAACUGGCAGUCUUGAGUACAGGAGAGGUGGGCGGAAUUCGUGGUGUAGCGGUGAAAUGCUUAGAUAUCACGAAGAACUCCGAUUGCGAAGGCAGCUCACUGGACUGCAACUGACACUGAGGCUCGAAAGUGUGGGUAUCAAACAGGAUUAGAUACCCGUGUAGUC